rnacentral:lncRNA from 1 species
AAACGCUGGCGGCCGCUCGUACCCUACCAGGCGCUCUGCCCCGCCGUGGGGUUUUGGGGGUGCUGUGGAGAAGGCAGGGCUCGGGACUCUUCCACCUCCUUGGCUGCUCUGGCCUUUGAGUUAUGCUCUAAGAUUAUCGAUUACUUUUCCGUUGUUGCUUAUUUCCCACAGCAGCAGAAUGAGAACGGUUAUUAGUUAAUAGCCAUCAGAGACAGACCAAGUGGAACACAGUCCUCGGAAAAACGCCACUCUGUAGCAUUAGUAAUUAAAACCUCACAAGGUUUGUAUUUCCUGAAGGAGGCCGUCAGUGUCAAUGCUGUACUAACGACGGUACUGUACGUAAGUUUCGGUACUGCCCCCACUUUCUUCUCCUUGACAUUGUAUUACUAAAAGCUGCAGCUACUCUCUACAGUUUUCUCAUUGGUUACUAAUGUCUGGAACAGCAGCUAGAUUAUGCAGUAAGCUCUUGACUUCUCAGUCCUUUAUGUGGAGCUGGGGGCAGGAAGAAUUGCUUCUGGAAGCUGAUGGAGUUGGACAUGUGGCUUUCUAGAAUCUGUGCCCAGCUUGUCAAGAAGUUGAAUCGGUGCAACCAGCGUUUGUGAAAGCAGCAUUUCCCAUUUCACAUAAAGUCAGCUUCUGGCCAACUGGACAAGUCUGAACAAAUAUGAAACCCACUAAAAGGCCAGUGACAGGUGCACACACUACUGACUCUGGCUAGAGGCUGUGGCAGGAAUUGGACUCAUGUCAUCCAGCGACAGUUCCACCAGCAUCUCUUGUGGCUUCCCAAGGACCAGCCUGAGGCAAACUCCUCAGUGGUGUGAAGACUUUCCAUGUCACUGGAAACCCACCACAGAGUUCUACCAAGUAACCAUGCCUCCACCAGUCCACAACAAACUUUUAAGGCCUCUCCAGUUAUGCCUGCAACCAUCCCACAUUAGCAACCUAAGUAGGCCACCAGUAGAGCUGGUCAAGAGAAAGGAUAGGUUCAAUUAAUUAUUUUUUAAUUAAAAAAAAAUAGAGACAGGGUCUUGUUAUGUUGCCGAGGCUGGUCUUGUACUCCUGAGCUGAAAUUAUCUUCCCGCCUCAGUCUCCCAAAGUGCUGAGAUUACAGGUGUGAGCCACCGUACUCAGCCAGAUAGAUUCAAUUUUUAAAACUUUAUUGCCAUUACUGUUCAGUAACCCCUUGAUAUGGUUGAAUAUUUGUCCCCUCCAAAACUUAUGCUGAUAUCUAAUCCCCAAUGUGACACUAUUGAGAGCUGGGGCUUUUAAGAUGUGAUUAGGUCAUGAGGGCUCCACCUUCUGAAUGGAUUAAUCCAUUCAUGGAUUAAUGAGUUCAUGGGUUAAUAGAUUAAUUUAUCUUGGGAGUGGGAUUAGUGGUUUUAUAAGAAGAGUGAGACCUCAGCUAGCAUAUUAGCACUCAGCUCCCUUGGCAUGUGAUACCACCUUGGGACUCUGCAGAGAGUUCCACCAGCAAGGCCUGUACCAGAUGCAGCCCCUUGACCUUGAACUUUUCAGCUUCCAGAACUGUAAGAAAUAGGCCAGGCAUAGUGGUUUACACCUGUCAUCCCACCACUCUGAGAGGCCAAGGCCAGUGGAUUGCUUGAGCCCAGGAGUUUGAGGCUUCAGUGAGCUAUGAUCAUGCCAUUGCACUCCAACCCAGCCUGGGCAACAGAACAAAACUCAGUCUCAAAAAAAAAAAAAAAAAAAAAAAAAAAAAAAGAAGAAGAAGCCAGAUACAAAAGAAUACAUUCUGUAUGACUCCAUUUAUUAGAAGUUCAAGGCCAGAUGUAGUGGCUCACACCUGUAAUCCUAACACUUUGGGAGGCCAACACAGGAAGAUCACUUAAGCUCAGGAGUUUGAGACCAGCCUGGGCAACAUAGUGAGACUCCAUGUCUAUUAAAACAAAAAAGUUCAAGGAGAAUCCAAAUUAAUGGAUGUGGAUAGAAAUCAAAGUGGCGAUUCCUCUUCAGAAGUGAAGACUGACUGAUAGGAGAAAUGAGAGAACUUUCUGAGUGAUGAAGGUGUUUUAUAUCUAGAUUGGAGAGUUGGUUACACAAGCGUAUAUAUUUGUCAAAAGUCAUCAAAUUGCACACAUAUUAUUUCACAGUAUGUAUGUUUUACCUUAAAUAAAAAUGUUUUGGCCAGGCACAGUGGCUUACACCUAUAACCCCAGCACUUUGGGAGGCCACAGCAGGAGGAUCUCUUGAGCACAGGAGUUUGAGACCAGCCUGGGCAAUAUAGUGAGCCCUCAUCUCUACUAAUGAAAUAAAAUAAAAUAUAACAUAAAAUAGCCACGCGUGGUGAUGCAGGCCUGUGGUCCCAGCUACUCAGGAGGUUGGGGUAUGAGGACCGUUUCAGCCUGGGAGGUCAAGGCUGCAGUGAACUGUGAUGAUGCUACUGCAUUCCAGUCUGAGUGACACAGUGAGACCCUGUCUCCAGAAAUAAAACAAGACACAACAAAAAAAGUGUUGUAUACUUUUUUUUUUUAAUUUAGAAGAGAAGAGCCAGGCACAGUGGCUCACGGCUGUAAUCCCGACACUCUGGGAGACCAAGGCAAGAGGACUGCUUGAGCUCAG